UAGGCUUCGGUAUAUGAGUGUCGAGAUCUGUCUUAUAUGUUCGUAGUUCAGUCUUAUACUAGAGAGAAAAUGAGGAUCUUACGUCCAUUCUUCUAGUUGUUCCACGAUAUGCGCUGUACUAUGUGAUCAAGGUCCAAAGGAUUAAAGGCAUUACGGCCACGUGUGUCGCUGCCCGUCGCUGCCCGUCGCUGCCCGUCGCUGCCCGUCGCUGCCCGUCGCUGCCAGUCGCUGCAUUCUCCUUUCUCCUUCCUCCUUUCUCCCGUUCCGACGCAUGUUUCUCCGUCUCUGCCUCGUGGAGAUAUCGAUGCCGAAAGCACGAUUUCUUAUUCGCGCUGAUCUAUCUAUAUUUUGUAUACUUGCCGAAUGUCUUGUUCCAACGCGCUUGUUUAGGACCAUGGAAUCUGUUUUUUUGUUACUUCGGCCUGUUAAAGGGGAUUGAUUUGCGUAUUCUUGGUUGAUUCAUGUUUCUUAGACAAAUAUGCGGAUGUCGUCAUAAAAUACUUUCAUUCCGCAAACGUGGCUUUCGACAAAUUUUAUGCGGUGCUUACAUUAAUACGAAACUCGCUAUGAUAAAACAUAAAACGUCGUAUCUAGAAUCACGAUAAGAACAACGAAACCCGACGCUGACCUUAAACUUCAGGCGGCGCGGCGAAUGGAACUUGGAAAGAGGAUCAUCGUGACCAUUUUAUUCUUGAUUUUUGAGUAUUUUUAUUGAUUCGUUAGAUAAUAUGUCAAACCAGUCGUACAAGAUCAAGAGAUUUCAGAAUAAAAUUAUAUGAAAAUUCACGUUUCACAAUAAGAAUAUGUAAUAUUUAUCAAUUAUUUCCAUAGACACUGUUGUCUUCACAAAAUAAUCACUUUUAUGUAAAGGAUUAAUUAUCUUUAUCUCAGAUAUUUGAUCUAUAGAUAUACUUAUAAAACAUAUACAUAUUCGUUCUAAUUACGAACUUUCAAGUACUCAAGCGAUGCACGAUAAGUCUCCGAUAUUUCGUUUCUUUCUACUUGCAGACUUUCGCACAUGAUAUAAUUGACACAAACAGCGUUGAAAAUAUAAAUUUCAAACGUUAUUCGUGGCUUCUUGCUUUUCCAUAUAAUAACUAAUAACGUAAUUACUAGAAAAUAAAAUACGUAUAUGGGUGGUGGAUUGUACAAAAGUGCGUAGUAUUAUUCGACAGUGAUAUAGUCCAUACACUUUUUUACUUAAUUUAUGAAUUAUGUAACAAGCUUUACAUAUGGAAAACGACAUGCUAAUAUUGCUAUAUACUCUGUAGCUACCGCUAGACAAACGAAUAACUAUGUGUAAUUUUGUCGGUAUUUUUUUAAAAACUAUCUCUACACGGGACUGACAUUUCAAUAAAAGUCACACGUAAUCAACUGUAUUUCAAACUCUUUGCCUGAAAAAGACAAAUUGUUACUCGCACCAUUUAUCAGAAAGAAUUGGUUAAAAGACAAUUAGUUCUCCCAAGAAUUAUUUACAAAAUUUGAACAUCCAACAACAUACAUCAAUAGUAAUUUGUAAUCAUUAAGAUUAUAAACGAACUAACUACCAGUUUUCGUAAUUGUCAGUUAAACUUAAGCGUGAAAACAAAAAUAAUUAAAUUAAAAAAAAAAGUAACACUUAUUAAUCGUAAACGAACCGGCUAUGAAUGCUAAAUGCUGAAAAAUACUAAAUAAAAUAUAAAAUCAACUAUGAUUCCUGACAACUGUCAGCUAAACAUGAAAACAAAAACCAUUGCAUGUUUGAAACUAACGAAUUCCUUGUAUAAACGAACUAGUGAUCAACCUCACGUUUUUUAUUGUAAACUUUUUUGUUGCAAAAAUUUUCAAGCGGAUUAUUAUUCAAUUCUGAUAUUAAGGGGAGAGUCCAAUACCAACGUUACAUUUACGUUAUAUCAAAUAAAGUUUAAUAAAAGUAAUAGAAUUGGGAUAUAAUACGAACCAGGGGACUAAAUAUCAGACUGCCUGUGACAGGUGAUUGUCAACGAAUCCACAAUUUUAGCUAAUCAAAAAUGGCCACCUGUAAUAAUAAUAAAAAAGAGAGAGAUAUAAAGAUAGAGUACAUGGGUCAUAUGUUACCGCGUAAGUGAAAGCGACAUAGGGGCCCCUUCUGUCCUUGUCUAAUCAGCCAUGCACACUGACGCCGCUCGUUGAUCGGCGUUACAAUUCCAUAUUUACUGUACGGAUGUGCAUGCGUUAUUAGACAAGGACAGAAGGGACUUCUAUUAGCUAACGUUCGCUUUCGAUUCUUAUAUCGCUUUUUCAGCUCGCUCACGCACUCUAUCGUUACAUCUCUAUAAUUGCAAAACGUAAGAGGUGCAUUAACCUCGCUUGAUUAUUUUUUACUUAAUUCGCGUGAUUUCUCUUUUAAUACCAUAGAUAUCGUUGUUUUUUUCUUUUUUUGGAAAUAAUUUCACGGACAGGGGACUGAAAUGUAAAAGUGGUGACAAAGAUUGUAAAUGUUCUUUGUCGAUAGAAUAAAAUCGAUUAAGGUAAAAAUAAAUGCGAAUGAUAAAUAUGACUAUUGUAUAAUAUAUCUUUUUAGUUUUUUUAUCUGAAUUUAAUAGUUUUUAAUAGGUAGAAUCCAAAAAUGCAAUUGUUCAAGGAUUAUGCGUGUGGAAAACUGAGCAUUUUUAUCGUAUAUUACAGGUUAGUAUGACGUCAUAUUGCUUCUAUUCGUAAUUCGAUUGAUCCGCACAGAUGAGCAUUGAGCUACUAACUUCGCCGAAUAUUCACUUAUACAAGCGUAACCGGCAACCUUUGGCCAAAACUAAUUCAGUACUCAUGAUUCAAAAUCCCGUCGUAAAAUGGCCGACAUCCACGUGCAUUUGUUAGAGCCAGUGACUCUACUCAUUGAACGAAUCGUGGAUAAAAAUCAACAUGGUGUCAAAGUUGAAGCAGUCAACGCUGAAAUCGCUUAACUUUAUAUACUUGUAACUUUUGAACUACGGAAUUCCUAAAGUUAAAACUUACAUUUUUCGAUUCUACGUAUAGAAAACCAUUUUAAAUUGCAAUUAGGAAAGGUCACAAUUUUGUGUCCGUUAAACCGAAGUUCUGUCUAUACGUAAAAAGGAAAAAUUAGCGAAUACUUUCACAUUUACGCAUUGAAUAUGAGAGUGAUAGAUUAAAUUUUGUAAUUGUAACAUGCCAGGACACUGAGAAUUUCAUGUAAAAAUGGUAAUUUUUGGAUAUAAAUAAAUUAAAUUCAUAAUUCUUCAUAAUUUGUCCAUGAAGUCACAGUUAUUAUCUGUCUCUGGUAUGUAAAUAUAAUACGAUUUAAUGUUUUUAAAGCGUUAAAAAGUGAGAGAUUGGAAGAGAGAGAAAUGCCCACUUCUGUAGAAUCCCCAUAUACGUAUGUGUAUAAAACAAUAAUAGACAAUAAUUUUUAUGAUUGUUUUAUUAACGUUUACACUUUUUUUAAACGUGCCUUUUCUAAUUGACUAGACAGAGCAAGAGAGGGAGGGAGAGGAGGAGGGAGAGAGAGAGAGAGAGAGAGAGAGAGUACUAUAUUUUCAUAGAUUUCGAAGAACUAUUACAAUUAAUAGAUUUGUUCUUGUAACUUGUGAUAAUUUGUUUGUCUUGCUGGUAACAGUUAUAUCAUUAUAAAGCGAAGAGUUUAUUUUUCAUUACACUGUAUCUAAUGAAAUGUAAUCUUUGAAAACAAGUUUUAGCUAAAUACGUAUAUCUCGAUGGACUAAUUACACAAUCAUCGGUCGAUGGCAAUGUUCUUAGUAAUUCGCAGCAUUAUAAAACAAACACAGCCGUUAAAUAUCAAGAAUAUACUUACAGAGAUAAAACCGUUUUGGCCUAAAAAUAUGUCUCUAUACGGAUUAGGUAAUGUCAACUCUUUUUAUUCGAAUACUCAAAGUUCUAUAUGCGAUAACGAUGAAAACGCCAGUGUAAAUUUACAUGUUUGCGAGUUUUAUAAAAUUUAUGAAUCAAGUUCAGUCACCUCCGCAAUUUUGUUCAACUCACGAUCAGUCCCACAAGUACUUGAAAUAAGUUUUACGAAAAUGUUGUUUUAUAAGAUUUGUACGAUACGUAUGGUAUUUAAUAGGUAAUUCUAAGACAUUACAUUCAUCUUUUUAGUUUAAUAAAUCUAGGUAAUCGUAAAACUUGGUGUAACUAAAUUUCUUAUUGAAAAGAUUUUUCCUUAAGUUUAUGAUUAUAUAUCGUAACAUUUUAUAGUAUAUUCUCCACAAAUCUAUUAUAUAUUAUUAGCAUAGCAUUAUAUAUUAUUAGCUAGAUAAUAAUUACAAUACGUUUUAACGAUAAAAUUAGUUAACAAAUGUAAUUAGCAAUAAUUUUUACAAAUUACUGUAGUGAUUUUCUUUCUUAAGAAUUAUUCCUAUAAAACAGAUCAAUUUACGUACACAUGAUUGCUAUCGCACGUAACAAUCAGAUAUUGGAUAUGUAUUAAUUAGAAAUCAAUCUAGCGAUCAAUAAAGAAAUUCUUAUCAUCAAACUACAACUACCUACAACUUCCGUCUACGAUAUUGCUCGAUAGGAAAAACAGCCACUUGAAGUACAUUGCGUCAUGCGAUCUGUGAAUCUCUCUCGACGGAAGAACUUCGAAAAAGGUUUUCGAGAAUUUAGGCUAGGACGAUCGAAAGUUUGAACAAAUAAUUUAUCAUUCUGCAGUUUCUCUGCUCGAUAAGCAUGCAUGGUGUCGAUGAUAUUUGGUUGAUCGAAUAAACAGCGAGGCCGUUGACUCUUCAUCGGCCAUACUUUUCUCCGAUCUAAUCUUCAAUCUUCGAUCGAAACAGCACAAUCUAUCCAGCCAACAUAGGAAACUUACGGGCCGGCUACAAUCUACAAUGUCACGAGCAAAGGUCUAUCGAGCGAGUCCCAACCGUCGAUAACGGCAACUAACAACAGGCUAAUCUAUCAAGGACGCUCGACAGUGAAAAUUUGGCCUUGAAAAGGCAAUACCGUUGACUGGAAACCUGACGGGUUUAUUAUAUCCAUAAUGGAGUAUCGUUAGCGGAAUACGUGUACUACUUACGUCCAUUCUUGUAGUAAUAGACGUUAAGACUUUAAACGCUGUUUGUGAAUAUUUAAAGAUAUUAGAAAUAGAACCAUUAAAUUUCAAUUACUGUCUUUUUAAAAGGCAAUCUUUGUUAGGAAUCACAGAAGAAUUAGCUAUUGCGAAGUAAUAAAGCAUUGAUCAAGAGAUUUAAAAGUAUGGAAAUCAUUUUUCGAGAGUUUCCAUUCUUUUGCUUUAAUUGGCAUUUAGUAGAGCUGCUUUGAUGAAUUUUUAAUGGAAUUUGAUAAACCUAACAAAGAUACGAACAAAGGUAUGUAUUUAUGGAUUUAGUUUGAACUGUAAGAAGUUCGAAGUUUACAAGUAUAAUGUUGUAUUAAGUGAUAUUAUCGAUGGUCAAAAUUAUUGGACUGUAAUCAAGUAAAAGUUGAUUACGUCGAUUCCUAAGCUAAAAUUAUAAGAUAAGAUUUAGGGGAAUCAUUAGAUUAUUUGGGAUGAUUACUAGUUGACGUAUUAUAUCGAUCAGUUUUAAUAGUUUUACGCACUAAGCUAAUUCUUCUUCUAGAAAAUGUAUCAUGUUUCAAUAAACAAAAUUUCAGAUAUCCGAAUAAAA